rnacentral:lncRNA from 1 species
UUUGUGUCUCAGAUGGGCCUUGAACUCAUGAUCUGUCUGCCCCAGCCUCCUGAGUUCCGGGGUUACAGCUGUGACUACCUUGUCUGGCUCUUGUUCUUAGAGUAUACAACAUGUUAUUUUGAUGACUAGCUUGUUUUAAUGGCAUUACUGUGAAGUGAUUAUUUAAGUGGAUUCAAUAACUUUUUUAGUAAAAUGACAAAUUAUGUUUAUAGAAAUAUAACAAUUGUUGGUUAAAUUGAACAUAUAUAUUUAGCCUCAAACUGCUAAUUUCUCAAAUCUGAGAUUAUUUGACUUUAAACAACACACAACUGUUUUUCUUUAAGAAAAUAAUGCAGUUUUUACUCAUUGUGAAUACUUCUCUGUCCCUAAAUGCUGACACAGGCUGCAUUACAGGUAAGAAAAAAAAAAAUCUAGUCAACUAAAAGUUAAGGGACAAAACUUUUGACAUACAUUUUAAGGAGUUCUAACAAUGACAUUGAUCAAUGUGAGAAACCGUGCUAUGGUGAGCGCCUCUGUAUGUCCUGCUCCCGCCUUCCCAUGGCUUUGGAUAGAUGCACAUGCUAAUGGAGUCGAGCUGCAGUACCAGAGUGUGUGUGUGCUUAGCGUGGCGAGGACGCUGGUGGGCAGCACCGAGGGUUCUAGUUGUCCUCUCUGUUGCACUGAGGACACGGACAUCUCACUGGUUUAAAUUCAUGCCCCAUUAGUGACUAGUGAAUCUAUUCGUGACACUAUAGACUAGUGUCUAUCCGUGACUUGUUCCCUGUUUGUGAAAUGUGUAUUCGCUCUUCUUCCUUCUUCCUGCCAGGCUUCCUAACUGAUGACCAAGUUCUUCAUAUGCUUAGAUACAUAAGUUUAGAUUCUCAUGGUUUUAGGCCCUUUUGUUACUUGCUAGGUAAUUCCCAGCACAAGAUCACGGCUUCCUCUCCUGUGAGGUUUGCUUUUCACAUGUCUGUCUUUGCUGGAGACCAAGCUCAGGCGUCAUGUGUGACAGGCAGGCGUUUGCCACUGAGCUGUACCCCCAGCCUUUGCAUUUAGCUCUUUAAUUUAUGUGUAACUGGGUUCUUGUGUGUAGUGGGUAGAGAUCUGCUCGCCUUAUGUCCCCAUGGUGUUUAUCCUGAGUUAAUGCAACCUUCCCCUCUGGUACUGUGGGACACCUUCUGUCCCAGGCUCUUUCUGGCUGUCUCUUCCACCCCACUGUCAUCUUGCCUUAAUUAUCUCUUAAUUAGACACAUUGUUGUCUAAUUGUUCCGAGCUUCACAGCUUCACGUGCCGGGAAAGCAGAGCUUCCAUCUCUUUAUCUCCCCUUUUACAGACUGAGUUUUGCAGAUGUAGAAACCUCAGGAGCAAGUUUGUUCUAUAACAGGAGCUUUUGUGGGGACUGGUAAGAUGACCCAGUAGGUAAAGUGCUCACCUCACAACCCGGGCAGCCUGGUUCAGUCUCAGGAACAAACAGAGAGGACCAUGGAGUGUUGUUAGUCCUCCCCUCGGAUACACACAGUAGCAAUUAAUUUUUUCUUUUAAUUUUGAGGUUACGUUGGACCUGUGAGAAAGCAGGUGUGCUUGGUUUAUAAUUCUGUGUACAUCACAGUCUUAUCCUCCCUGGUGUUGAAAUUUUCUUUAAUGAUCUGCAUAAGGUUUUGUGAUUUUCUUACAUAACUGUAGUUGGGUUUAUUCCCAGACACUUACGUGGCAAAGGCUCCUGUAAUGCUGCCUUUAGAAAGCCAUUGUCUGUCUCUGUUACAUUAGGGUAAGUCUGUCUCCAUUACAUUAGGGUAAGACGGGUUUCCAUGUUGAUUUUAUCCCAACACUCUUACAGAUGCUCUUGAUAGUGAUUUCUUCCUGAAGUCUUUGAAACGGUCUGUAUACAGAGUCCUCUCCAUAAACAACGACCCCCGUGCCAUGUGCCCUUCCCUCCAGCCCCUCACUGGUUAGCUUAGAGUUGACUGAGACUUUUUAACAGUUUUGGUCUCACUUGCAGUUUCAGUGGGGCCUUUCCUUAGCUCCUCCACUCCCCAUGCUUAGCUGAGCAGUCUGUGUCUUGGGCUCUGCAGGAAAGCACAGGUUCUCCUGAGCAGCAGAUGUCCUGGUUCUGUUGACCUUUUGGCUUCCAGUUUUCUUUUUCUCCAGUGUCUUUCGAGUGUUCCUUCCCACUUGACAGACAGACAGAUCAUGAAUAUGUUCACAGAGAUUCCAGCAGCGUGCUUCAUCCAGCAUUCCCAGCUGCUUACAUGGGAACCCACUGUCAUAUGUCAGAUCUGAGUUCUUUAUAAAGGGACAUUAGUAAUGAUCCUGUAAACAUAGUCCUUUUCUUUACAUCUGUGUGUAUGUGUUGUUUUUUUCUCCAGUCUCUCUCCUGCGCCCUGUUUUAUAUAGUCGUGUCUCUGUUAUCAUCUUAGUGUUCUUCCGUAGUGCCGAAACUGUUAAUGUGCUGAGGCACGAGCCCUUUCUCAGGUCCCUUUCCCCUUCUUACAGAAGUCUGACUCCAAACUUUUCUCUAAAGCCCUUUUCCCUGGAUAAAUUUCUCUUUCUGGGAACACAGUCAUCUGAACUCCUGUGUGUGCUAUUUUGUCUAGGAUUUCUCCAGUGACGAUUCCAAGCUAGAGUAUAAUGUAGACGCUGCAAAUGGCAUUGUCAUGGAAGGGUAUCUGUUCAAACGAGCCAGCAACGCCUUCAAAACGUGGAACAGGUAACAGAUUUCCAACAUUAGUCUUGAUGCUAACAUAUUUGCCAUUUUCGGCCUUUCCCUGUAAUUACCAACUGUUUUUCCUUCCUAUCUAAACUUUACAAAAUGAUCAGGUGAAAAACGAGAAUACAGAUUUUUAUAUUUGAAACUUACGGCUUUAAGGAGAGAGCUAGUUCUUAGAAUGCUUGGGCUGUAAUGACUGGAGUCUCACUCAUCUUUUAUUAAGAACUCACUUGUGUGUUGUGUGGUGGUGGCAGCGAUGCACACCUCCCAGCACUUGGAGGCAGAGGCAGCUGGGUCUCUGUGAGGUCUAGGAUAGCCAGGUGACACAGAGAAACCCUGUCCCAAAAACAAAACAAGCAAGCAAUCAAACAAACAAAAAACCAAAAAGAAAGAAAGAAAAGACUUGUGAGUCUUAAGCCCAGAUGGCCUGACCGUUAGCUUUUGGCCUUUAUAAUACCACUUAAUGUAGAACAUGGUAAAAGUCAUGGUAGCCACUAUUCCAUUAUUGUACAUGUGAGGGCUAGGAAAAGGUUUGAAUUUUUGCUGAAUUAAUUUUUAUAAAAUAUAAAACCAUUGGAUGUUACAAGAAUGGAAUUAUACAGGUGUCAUGAGGGACACCUGAAAUCCUUUUAGGAGGUGAAGGCAGGAGAAUUCUGAGUUCAUGGCCAGCCUGGGCUGCAUAGUAAGAUUUUGUAUCU